GGGGCGGUGGCUGGGAGGGAGCCUCCUGGCCGCCGGCCAAGGGUUUGUUCUGCUCUGGGUUGGCCGGGACUUGCGCUGUGCCGGGUCUAGACACAUCCCCAAGGUUCUGGCAGCAGAGGGCUGGCUGGGAGUGCCCGCAGGGAGCAAAGACAGUGAGAAAGCGCUUCACCCGCGCUGGGCAGAUAUUUUGAACCCUAGGCGACAUUUCCUCACCUACAAACCACUGAGAGGCGUCCUGAGGAGAGCGAAUGUUUUUGCAGUGCAUCAUCUCAAUAGGGGUGGGGAGUGGAGGAAGCUGAUUUGCUAGCAGAGAUGCCCAAUAUAGCGACCCGAGCUUCAGAAAGAAUUCUACUCUGUUCUAAGACGUUUCUUCCGUCGCCCACCUUCUAUCGCUGACUAAGACACAACUCUCUCUCAGUUUCACAGAGAAAGGGAUUAAAAAAAAAUGGCUCGGAGCCUUUAGGUGCAUUUCACAUCUAAACACAAGGAAGGAAUCUGUGAGGGUGCCUGUGUGAUGUGCUUUUGGUGACAUCGGUUUACAUUUAGGCGGUGUGGAUGGAAACUUGGAGAAAGCCGGCAUGCAGAAUUUAAUGUUUCCUGACUGCUUCUGAAAUGAUUUGAAAUAAAUGAAAAUAUGACAUUUUGCUAUAAUUUUAUCACUGAUCUUUUCUGAAACAAAAGAAAUUCAUGCCAACAGGUCAUGUCAUAGUUACAAAAUACACAAAAUAUAUACAAUUGUAGAAGUAUUUCAUUAAGCUGCAAGUUUACCAGAGAUAAUUUCUUUUAAUGUACUUGGCUGUGAGCUAGGGGAGACUUGACUUUUCUAAUUGAUUAGAAUUUUUAAAAAUUGUUAGAGUUUAAAAUGUUUUAUCUGUUCCUGAAUUUGGGGCUUCUCUCUUUAACUUACUGUAAAGUAGCAUGAGAUGAAUUAAACAAUAAUCGGUCAUUUUUACUUUGGGACUAUAUAAGUCAGGAAAUUCUUGACUUAUUAAUCCAAAAAUAAAAAGAAUUUUUUUAACCUAAGUUUCCAUAUUCAAUCAAAAGUCAAAUUAUGACACAAAAUAAAAAAGCUGGAAAUAUAUUUAAAGGAGCACGUGUUACAUUAAAAAUACUGGCAGUAUUUCCCAGAAAAGGGAAUCUGGGGAGGGCACAAAAAGAGGGAGUAAAGAGGAAAUAGAGGAUGGAAUCCUUAGAGCUUAUUACCUAAUUUUAGAGAAGACAUGGAAUUAUAAUGGAGAAAUGCAAAAGACCACCUUUUCUUUAUAGGAAAAAGGCAAUGUACUUUUUGAAAAAAAAGGUCAGUUUCAACUACAUGGCAGGGAAAAAUGUCACAUGUCGACGUGACUUUAAUUAUGCUGGUUAAUCAUCAUUAUAAUACUAAAGAUCUUCCAAAGUUUGGCUUUUCUUAAUUUACUUCUGCCAAACUUCGUUUCUAAAAUAUUUGAACAAAUUUUGUGUUAACAAACCUAAUAUUCUAGAAAAGGGUGGCGAACCUAAUAUUCUAGAAAAGGGUGGCGUCGGGUUCAGUGUGUUGUGUAGUGCUCGGUUUACCUCUAAUACUUACUAAAAGAUUGUUGUUCCUCUAACUCUUCCAAAAAGUUGGCUGCAAAGUGGUUGGGGCUGUGUUCUAUGGAAAAAUGUAGAAACCGUUUCCCAUCUAUUGUUUUUCAGUCUUCAGCUGUGAUGAAUAAUCUUGACGGUGAAAAAAGUCAACAGGAACAGUGAGAAAGCAUGUCCUGCAUUCCAGCAAGGAAAGGACUUUCUGAGGAGACCUCUACUUCAUCUUCAUCUCUCUCCACGUCUUUCUCAAGAUAAUUUCUAGAGCCUUGCUACUCGAAGUGUGGUGCAGGGACCCACAGCAUCAACAUCAACAUCAGCAUGACCUGGGAGCUCAUUAGAAACCAGGAUCUCAGGCCCAGUUUCAGAUUUACUGAAUCCAGAUCUGCAUUUUGACAAGAUCCCCAGGUUGUUCAUAUGUAUAUUAAACUCUGAGAAGUAGUGAUCUAGGGGAAACUUGAAAAUACACAUUUUCUGAAGGUAUUUUAAAAGACAGAAGCUAUGCCCACAAAUACCACUGCCCUAUAUAAGAACCAUGAAGGAAGAAAAACUCAGACAAAUUCAUGCAUAAAAGAGCCCUUUACAUCAUGGGAAGAGCAAUAAAACUGCAGCUUGGAUGACUUGCAGGGAAUCCCAAUUCCUCCACAAGAGGAAGUAACAUGCUAUUGAAGAAAUAUUUGUAAGCAAAUUGAAGGAAGCAUCGUUUAAGGGGGAACCCUUACAAGCUAAGUUAGCCAAGUUGCUAGCAGGGAACUGGCAGUUCUUUUCAUUUUUAUAAACCGAAGGCUUCUUGGAAUGUGAAAUCAAGAAUUACGAACUGGGGAGCAGCCAAGUAAUUUUUUUAUUUUUUUUGAUUACGGAAGAGCUUGAGCUAUAUUAAACUCUCAUAUUAGCCACACCCAAAAUGUAUUGGCCUGUGGCAAGAGUUGAGGCAGCACUGGAGUAUUACAUUUAUAAGACGACAGAGUAGUUCCUUAGGGACUGCUUUGAAGUGGCCGGAACCUAUCCUGUGCCAUGAAGCCCUUCAUGCUGAGAAAACUUCAUUGCACAUUUUAGAAAUGUGAGCGAUUUUCCUUUCCAGUUCUGAAUAUUGCCUCAACUCUAAGAAUCAUAAAAGUUUUAAAUGAAUCCCUAGUCUAUCAUGCAGGGUAGAACCUGCUUGCCUCUGAUCUGUCCCAAAUAGAUCAAUGCUCAUCAUUCUCAAAGUUCUUCCAGGAAAAAUAUUUUACAAAUAUUUUUUUUACCAUGUCCCUUGUUCAGAUAUAUUUAUGAUCACGAUUUUGUUGUGUGUGCUUACUCUAAUAAAAUUAUCACUUAAGACAACUCCACUUAGGUUUUCUCUCUCUCAGAAAAAAGUAGUUUUAAUAAAAUCGUCUUCGUACAAUA